rnacentral:rRNA from 1 species
AUUGAACGCUGGCGGCAUGCCUUGCACAUGCAAGUCGAACGGUAACGGGCCUUCGGGUGCCGACGAGUGGCGAACGGGUGAGUAAUGUAUCGGAACGUACCUUUCAGUGGGGGAUAACGUAGCGAAAGUUACGCUAAUACCGCAUAUUCUGUGCGCAGGAAAGCAGGGGAUCGCAAGACCUUGCGCUAAUUGAGCGGCCGAUAUCAGAUUAGCUAGUUGGUGAGGUAAAGGCUCACCAAGGCGACGAUCUGUAGCGGGUCUGAGAGGAUGAUCCGCCACACUGGAACUGAGACACGGUCCAGACUCCUACGGGAGGCAGCAGUGGGGAAUUUUGGACAAUGGGGGCAACCCUGAUCCAGCCAUGCCGCGUGAGUGAAGAAGGCCUUCGGGUUGUAAAGCUCUUUCGGCCGGGAAGAAAUCGUAUCAGCUAAUACCUGGUGCGGAUGACGGUACCGGCAUAAGGAGCACCGGCUAACUACGUGCCAGCCGCCGCGGUAAGAC